rnacentral:rRNA from 1 species
UACGAAGGGGGCUAGCGUUGUUCGGAAUUACUGGGCGUAAAGGGCGCGUAGGCGGUGUGUCAAGUCAGGCGUGAAAGCCCCGGGCUCAACCUGGGAACCGCGCUUGAGACUGGCACGCUCGAGUUCGGGAGAGGAUGGUGGAAUUCCCAGUGUUGAGGUGAAAUUCGUAGAUAUUGGGAAGAACACCGAUGGCGAAGGCAGCCAUCUGGACCGACACUGACGCUGAGGCGCGAAAGCGUGGGGAGCAAACAGG